UCAUAAAUCUAGCCGCAUACCACGAGGACUACGUUCUAAUUUUCGACCGACAUUGUUCAAGGAGGAUAAGGAUUUCUGUGAUCGUUUUGAGAGCAUACUCAAUAAAUGUUCAUUGAACUUAAUGCUUUUAACCAUUGAGAAAGCCUAUUCAUCCAUCAACGAUCUUACCAAACAGGUUGAAACGACAGAGAACCAGUUGAGCACCAUACUACCUCCAGAGGAUUGGGACACGCUUAAAGAAAAGACCACCAAACAGAUCGCGGAGUACCAGUCACACACAGAAUCUACUAAAAGGUCCAAGUUUAUAAGGGACGCAGAAGAUUAUAGACUCAAUCAGGUUUACAGGUGGAGGGAUCCGAACUACCAACCCUCGUGGAAUAGUCACUAUCACCAGUUUUCUUCAGGAGCCAGCUCAACAGGGUCUGACGGCGAAAGAUCACAGCAUCGCAUACAGCCUUUUUUAGGGAGAGGCCAUACACGCCCCAGAUACGGAAGAAACGACCGCGGAGGAGCCAGAGGAACAGACCCGGACAACCGUAUCCAGACACGCUCACAGAUUCACUAGCCUUGACCUUGGUCCAUAUGAUCUAGUUAUGGAUCCCUUGAUAAAGGUCGACAUCGACCAAAACGUUGGGUGUACUACUUACCUAAGUAAUUGUAAUGCUUGAAUAAUUACUCUGGAUGGAACAAAAAGUUGAUGUAUGAACUAUC